UGCAGCUGUGUCAAAUUCAGUGCCUCUCCUAAUGAUGGCAAGCACUGGCCCAGAAGGCUGCCAUAGAAACUCUGUGACUCCUGAGCUCUGUUCCCCAUGCUAGGUUCAGGGAUAAAUGGAGUCACAGACAUCA
rnacentral:snoRNA from 7 species